GACGAACGCUGGCGGCGUGCUUAACACAUGCAAGUCGAACGGGAGUAUUGAAGAAGCUUGCUUUAGAGAUACUUUAGUGGCGGACGGGUGAGUAACGCGUGAGGAGCUGUCCUAUGCAGGGGGACAACAGCUGGAAACGGCUGCUAAUACCCCAUAAGCCGAGAGGUAAAAGGAUCAAUCCGGCAGAGGAGGUACUCGCGUCCUAUCAGCUAGUAGGUGAGGUAACGGCUCACCUAGGCGAAGACGGGUAGCCGGCCUGAGAGGGCGAACGGCCACACUGGAACUGAGAUACGGUCCAGACUCCUACGGGAGGCAGCAGUGGGGAAUAUUGGGCAAUGGGGGAAACCCUGACCCAGCGACGCCGCGUGGGUGAAGAAAUCCUUCGGGAUGUAAAGCCCUGUUGUAUGGGAAGAGCGGAAGACGGUACCAUACGAGGAAGCCCCGGCAAACUACGUGCCAGCAGCCGACGGUAAACUAGUCUAACG
rnacentral:rRNA from 1 species